CUUUUUUGCCUUGGUUGGGACUCCUUUCUGCCUUUUUGCCCUGAGCCCCUUCUGUCUUUUUACCCUGAUUCUGGGCUCCCUCUCCUUUUUGGCCCUGGUUCUGGGCUCCCUCGGCCUUUUUGCCCUGGUUCUGAGCCCCCUCGGCCUUCUUGCCCUGGUUCUGGGCCCCCUCAGCCUUCUUGCCCUGGUUCUGGGCCCCUUCUACUUUUUUGCCCUGGUUCUGAGCACCCUCGGCCUUCUUGCCCUGGUUCUGGGCCCCCUCGGCCUUCUUGCCCUGGUUCUGGGCCCCCUCGGCCUUCUUGCCCUGGUUCUGGGCCCCCUCGGCCUUCUUGCCCUGGUUCUGGGCCCCCUCGGCCUUCUUGCCCUGAUUCUGGGCCCCCUCGGCCUUCUUGCCCUGAUUCUGGGCCCCCUCGGCCUUCUUGCCCUGAUUCUGGGCCCCCUCGGCCUUCUUGCCCUGGUUCUGGGCCCCCUCUCCCUUUUUGCCCUGAUUCUGGGCCCCCUCUGCCUUUUUGCCCUGGUUCUGGGCCCCUUCUACCUUUUUGGCCUGGUUCUGAGCCCCCUCGGCCUUUCUGCCCUGGGUUGGGGCCCCCUCCACCUUUUUCCCCUGGUUUGGGGUUGUAUCUACCUUUUUACCCUGGUUCUGGGCCCCCUCCGCCUUUUUGCCUUGGUUUGGGGUUCCUUCUGCCUUUUUGCCUUGGUUUGGGGUUCCCUCUGCCUUUUUCCCUUGGUUUGGGGUUCCCUCUGUCUUUUUGCCCUGGUUUGGGGUUCCCUCUGCCUUUCUGCCCUGGUUUGGGG
rnacentral:lncRNA from 1 species